UUACGGCCAUAUCACGUUGAAACACCAAUUCACGUACGAUCACCGAAGUUAAGCAUCGUCGAGCCUGGUCCGUAUUAAGAUGGGUGACCGUUUAGGAAUAUUAGGUGCUGUAA